GAUUAACGCUGGCGGCGUGCAUAACACAUGCAAGUCGAACGAAGUGGCGGACGGGUGAGUAACGCGUGAGUAACUUGCCUUAGAGAAGGGGAUAGCCUCUGGAAACGAAGAAUAAUACCCGAUGCUCUAAGAUGGGCUUGCGUCUGAUUAGUUAGUUGGGGGGGUAACGGCCCACCAAGAAAGCGAUCAGUAGCCGGCUUGAGAGCGUGUACUGCCACAUUGGGACUGAGACACGGCCCAGACUCUACGGGAGGCAGCAGUGGUGAAUUUUGCACAAUGGGGGAAACCCUGAGGCAGCGAGGCCGCGUGAUUUGGAAGGCCGUCGGGUUGUAAAAAUCUUUUCUAUGGGAAGCAGUACCAUAAGAAUAAGGACCGGCUAAUUACGUGCCAGCCGCCGCGGUAAUAC
rnacentral:rRNA from 1 species